rnacentral:pre_miRNA from 1 species
AGCUGCCCCUACUGACCGCCGUGCACGUGCACGUCUCUCGCAUGCACGUGCACGGCGGUCAGUAGGGGCAGUAG